rnacentral:rRNA from 1 species
CCUACGGGAGGCAGCAGUGAGGAAUAUUGGUCAAUGGACGAGAGUCUGAACCAGCCAAGUAGCGUGAAGGAUGACUGCCCUAUGGGUUGUAAACUUCUUUUAUAUGGGAAUAAAAUGUUCUAUGUGUGGGAUUUUGUAUGUACCUUAUGAAUAAGGAUCGGCUAACUCCGUGCCAGCAGCCGCGGUAAUACGGAGGAUCCGAGCGUUAUCCGGAUUUAUUGGGUUUAAAGGGAGCGUAGGUGGGUUGUUAAGUCAGUUGUGAAAGUUUGCGGCUCAACCGUAAAAUUGCAGUUGAUACUGGCAGUCUUGAGUACAGUAGAGGUAGGCGGAAUUCGUGGUGUAGCGGUGAAAUGCUUAGAUAUCACGAAGAACUCCGAUUGCGAAGGCAGCUCGCUGGACUGCAACUGACACUGAGGCUCGAAAGUGUGGGUAUCAAACAGGAUUAGAUACCCGUGUAGUC